UCCGGGGGAGGCGGCAGCUCCUCGUCCGCGGGCCCGAGGUGCCCAGGCUGAGGCCGGAGCGGUGGCCCGUCCAGCGGGGUCUGGGCAGGGGGUGGGGGUGGGGGAGAGAAGGUCACCAGCUCUCUCUCUACAGAGCAGGGUAAGAACCACUGCCUCUCCCCACCUCGGGAGGGUCUGCGAGUCUAGACAAACACAGGGGAGUGGCGGUGCCAGUUUUAGCUGCCUGGCCUCUGCGAGCUCUAAGGCUGCACCUGCUCCAUCCUGCUCAGGGGAGGUGCUGCUCUCUUCCUCCACCCAGGGAGGCCGUCGCCAGGUGACAGCAGCCUCCCUACCAGCCCCAUGGAGACCAGAUAGAUUUAUAAGAUCAAGUGUGUGACAACUGAAGGGGAGGAGCACAGUUGGGCACAGAUCUCUUGGUAUCACAGCACGGGGUUCCCCAGGAAAUGAAAGCUUGUGACGC
rnacentral:lncRNA from 1 species